rnacentral:rRNA from 1 species
CCCUUAGAUGUUCUGGGCCGCACGCGCGCUACACUGACGAUGGCAACGAGUUUUUCCUUCGCCGAAAGGUGUGGGUAAUCUUUUGAAACAUCGUCGUGCUGGGGAUAGAUCAUUGCAAUUUUUGAUCUUGAACGAGGAAUUCCUAGUAAGCGCGAGUCAUCAGCUCGCGUUGAUUACGUCCCUGCCCUUUGUACACACCGCCCGUCGCUACUACCGAUUGAAUGGUUUAGUGAGGACUCCGGAUUGGCGCCGCCGCCCCGGCAACGGAGCAGCGGACUGCCGAAAAGUUGUUCAAACUUGAUCAUUUAGAGGAAGUAAAAGUCGUAACA